GAUGAACGCUGGCGGCGUGCUUAACACAUGCAAGUCGAACGAGAAGUGAAGACGGAAACCUUCGGGCGGAAGGCUUUAUUUCGAGUGGCGGACGGGUGAGUAACGCGUGGGUAACCUGCCUCAUACAGGGGGAUAACAGUUGGAAACGACUGUUAAUACCGCAUAAGGUCACAGCACCGCAUGGUGCGGGGGUAAAACCUCCGGUGGUAUGAGAUGGACCCGCGUUCGAUUAGCCAGUUGGCGGGGUAACGGCCCACCAAAGCGACGAUCGAUAGCCGAUCUGAGAGGAUGGCCGGCCACAUUGGGACUGAGACACGGCCCAAACUCCUACGGGAGGCAGCAGUGGGGAAUAUUGCACAAUGGGGUAAACCCUGAUGCAGCGACGCCGCGUGAGUGAAGAAGUAUUUCGGUAUGUAAAGCUCUAUCAGCAGGGAAGAAAAUGACGGUACCUGAGUAAGAAGCCCCGGCUAACUACGUG
rnacentral:rRNA from 1 species